CAAGAGCGUAUGUAAAAGUUGUUGCAGUUAAAAAGCUCGUAGUUGAACCUUGGGUUUGGUUGGCCGGUCCGCUUUUUUGCGAGUACUGGAUUCAACCGAGCCUUUCCUUCUGGCUAACCAGUCGUUUCGGCGGCUGGCGAACCAGGAUUUUUACUUUGAGAAAAUUAGAGUGUUCAAAGCAGGCAUUAGCUUGAAUAUAUUAGCAUGGAAUAAUAGAAUAGGACGUUAUGGUUCUAUUUUGUUGGUUUCUAGGACCAUCGUAAUGAUUAAUAGGGACGGUCGGGGGCAUCAGUAUUCAGUUGUCAGAGGUGAAAUUCUUGGAUUUACUGAAGACUAACUACUGCGAAAGCAUUUGCCAAGGACGUUUCCAUUAA
rnacentral:rRNA from 1 species